rnacentral:rRNA from 1 species
GAUGAACGCUAGCUACAGGCUUAACACAUGCAAGUCGAGGGGCAGCAUGAUUGAAGCUUGCUUCAAUCGAUGGCGACCGGCGCACGGGUGAGUAACACGUAUCCAACCUGCCGAUAACUCGGGGAUAGCCUUUCGAAAGAAAGAUUAAUACCCGAUAGUAUAGUAUUUCCGCAUGGUUUCACUAUUAAAGAACUUCGGUUAUCGAUGGGGAUGCGUUCCAUUAGAUAGUUGGCGGGGUAACGGCCCACCAAGUCAACGAUGGAUAGGGGUUCUGAGAGGAAGGUCCACCACAUUGGAGCUGAGACACGGUCCAAACUCCUACGGGAGGCAGCAGUGAGGAAUAUUGGUCGAUGGACGAGAGUCUGAACCAGCCAAGUAGCGUGAAGGAGGACUGCCCUAUGGGUUGUAAACUUCUUUUAUACGGGAAUAAAGUGGAGUAUGCAUACUCCUUUGUAUGUACCGUAUGAAUAAGGAUCGGCUAACUCCGUG